GACGGAGGAUGCAAGUGUUAUCCGGAAUCACUGGGCGUAAAGCGUCUGUAGGUGGUUUAAAAAGUCCACUGUUAAAGGUUGAAGCUUAACUUCAAAAAUGCCGUGGAAACUUUUAAACUUGAGUAUGAUAGGGGUAGAGGGAAUUUCCAGUGGAGCGGUGAAAUGCGUAGAUAUUGGAAAGACCACCGAUGGCGAAGGCACUCUACUGGGCCAUUACUGACACUGAGAGACGAAAGCUAGGGGAGCGAAUGGG
rnacentral:rRNA from 1 species